rnacentral:rRNA from 11 species
UUAGCCAGUAAUAUAAUUUUGUGCACUUAAAUAAAGAUGCAAGACCCUGUCUAUGUUAAGCAGGGCAGGCUUGGUUAGUACUUGGAUGGGGGACUGCCAAGGAAUACCAGGUGCUGAAGAAU